GUAUGGUGCAAGCGUUAUCCGGAUUUACUGGGUGUAAAGGGUGCGUAGGUGGUAUGGCAAGUCAGAAGUGAAAGNCUGGGGCUCAACCCCGGGACUGCUUUUGAAACUGNCNUNCUUGANUNCAGGAGAGGAAAGCGGAAUUCCUAGUGUAGCGGUGAAAUGCUUAGAUAUCACGAAGAACUCCGAUUGCGAAGGCAGCUCACUGGAGUGUAACUGACGCUGAUGCUCGAAAGUGUGGGUAUCAAACAGGAUUAGAUACCCUGGUAGUCCACACAGUAAACGAUGAAUACUCGCUGUUUGCGAUAUACAGUAAGCGGCCAAGCGAAAGCAUUAAGUAUUCCACCUGGGGAGU
rnacentral:rRNA from 1 species